rnacentral:rRNA from 1 species
AGUGAACGCUGGCGGUAGGCCUAACACAUGCAAGUCGAACGGCAGCACAGUAAGAGCUUGCUCUUACGGGUGGCGAGUGGCGGACGGGUGAGGAAUACAUCGGAAUCUACUUUUUUGUGGGGGAUAACGUAGGGAAACUUACGCUAAUACCGCAUACGACCUACGGGUGAAAGCAGGGGAUCUUCGGACCUUGCGCGAUUGAAUGAGCCGAUGUCGGAUUAGCUAGUUGGCGGGGUAAAGGCCCACCAAGGCGACGAUCCGUAGCUGGUCUGAGAGGAUGAUCAGCCACACUGGAACUGAGACACGGUCCAGACUCCUACGGGAGGCAGCAGUGGGGAAUAUUGGACAAUGGGCGCAAGCCUGAUCCAGCCAUACCGCGUGGGUGAAGAAGGCCUUCGGGUUGUAAAGCCCUUUUGUUAGGAAAGAAAAGCAGCAGGUUAAUACCCCGCUGUUCUGACGGUACCCAAAGAAUAAGCACCGGCUAACUUCGUG